CAGCAGCCGCGGUAAUACGGAGGAUCCAAGCGUUAUCCGGAAUCAUUGGGUUUAAAGGGUCCGUAGGCGGUCUUGUAAGUCAGUGGUGAAAGCCCAUCGCUCAACGGUGGAACGGCCAUUGAUACUGCAGGACUUGAAUUAUUGGGAAGUAACUAGAAUAUGUAGUGUAGCGGUGAAAUGCUUAGAGAUUACAUGGAAUACCAAUUGCGAAGGCAGGUUACUACCAAUUGAUUGACGCUGAUGGACGAAAGCGUGGGUAGCGAACAGGAUUAGAGACCCGUGUAGUCCCUGUCUCUUAUAC
rnacentral:rRNA from 1 species